UUGGAGGCGAUGAUGCUUUGAACUACCUAUUUUAUGAGGGAAUGAAAAUCAUUCUCUUGUGAUUACAAAAUUACCAAUGGAUCCUUCUGAGCCUUCCA
rfam:Lupinus angustifolius cultivar Tanjil chromosome LG04, whole genome shotgun sequence.